rnacentral:rRNA from 1 species
UGUGGUGACUAUAGCGGUGGGGUCCACCUCUUCCCAUUCCGAACAGAGAAGUUAAGCCCGCCAGCGCCGAUGGUACUGCCGUAAAACGUGGGAGAGUAGGUCGUCGCCUCUU